rnacentral:rRNA from 1 species
GUGUUGUAAGUGUCUAAGGGCGCACGGUGGAUGCCUUGGCGCAAGGAGCCGAUGAAGGACGUGGGAGGCUGCGAUAUGCCUCGGGGAGCUGUCAACCGAGCUGUGAUCCGAGGAUUUCCGAAUGGGGAAACCCAGCACCAGUCAUGUGGUGUUACCCGCCGUUGAAUAUAUAGACGGUGUGGAGGGAACGAGGGGAAGUGAAACAUCUCAGUACCCUCAGGAAGAGAAAACAAUAGUGAUUCCGUGAGUAGUGGCGAGCGAAAGCGGAUGAGGCUAAACCAUGCACAUGUGAUACCGGGUAGGGGUUGUGUGUGUGGUGUUGUGGGGUUCAUCUUUCCAGCUCUACCUGGCUGGACAGCAGUAAGAAAGUGUCAUGUUAGGUGAAGUGACCUGGAAUGGUCCGCCGGAGAGGGUGAGAGUCCCGUAACUGAAAACGUGGUGCCUGUUGUGAUGGAUACCCGAGUAGCAGCGAGCCCGUGGAAUUUGCUGUGAAUCUGCCGGGACCACCCGGUAAGCCUGAAUACUACCUUGCGACCGAUAGCGGACAAGUACCGUGAGGGAAAGGUGAAAAGUACCCCGGGAGGGGAGUGAAAUAGUACCUGAAACCGUGUGCUUACAAUCCGUCAGAGCCCUCGUUGUGGGGUGAUGGCGUGCCUUUUGAAGAAUGAGCCUGCGAGUCAGUGCUCGGUGGCGAGGUUAACCCGUUGUGGGGUAGCCGUAGCGAAAGCGAGUCCGAAUAGGGCGUUUGAGUCGCCGGGUCUGGACCCGAAGCGGAGUGAUCUACCCAUGGCCAGGGUGAAGCAGCAGUAAGAUGUUGUGGAGGCCCGAACCCACUUAGGUUGAAAACUGAGGGGAUGAGCUGUGGGUAGGGGUGAAAGGCCAAUCAAACUCCGUGAUAGCUGGUUCUCCCCGAAAUGCAUUUAGGUGCAGCGUCACGUGUUUCUUGCCGGAGGUAGAGCUACUGGAUGGCCGAUGGGCCCUCACAGGUUACUGACGUCAGCCAAACUCCGAAUGCCGGUAAGUGAGAACGUGGCAGUGAGACUGCGGGGGAUAAGCUUCGUAGUCGAGAGGGAAACAGCCCAGAUCGCCGGCUAAGGCCCCUAAGCGUGUACUAAGUGGAAAAGGAUGUCCGGUCGCGAAGACAACCAGGAGGUUGGCUUAGAAGCAGCCACCCUUGAAAGAGUGCGUAAUAGCUCACUGGUCUAGUGGCUGGGCGCCGACAAUGUAGCGGGGCUCAAGUACACCGCCGAAGCCGCGGCACUCACAGUUUUGACUGUGGGUGGGUAGGGGAGCGUCGUGCAGCCGUAGAAGCAGCAGGGUGACCUAGUUGUGGAGGCUGUGCGAGUGAGAAUGCAGGCAUGAGUAGCGAAUGACAAGUGAGAAACUUGUCCUCCGGAUGACCAAGGGUUCCUGGGCUAGGUUAAUCCUCCCAGGGUGAGUCGGGACCUAAGGCGAGGCCGACAGGCGUAGUCGAUGGACAACGGGUUGAUAUUCCCGUACCCGUGUCAGAUCGCCCCUGAUGAAUCAGUUGUACUAACCGUCCUGAAGCCGCGAGAUCACCUUCGGGUGACGAGCUGGUGGAUGCACGGGACCUCGGCUGGUAGUAGUCAAGCGAUGGGGUGACGCAGGAAGGUAGUGGGGCCAGUCAGUGGUUGUACUGGUGUAAGCCUGUAGGGCGAGAUCUAGGCAAAUCCGGAUCUCAUAUAAGCCUGAGAGGUGAUGCGUAGCCGUUGCGGCGAAUUCCAUGAUCCUAUGCUGCCGAGAAAAGCCUCUAGCGAGAUCUGAUGUGGCCCGUACCCCAAACCAACACAGGUGGUCAGGUAGAGAAUACCAAGGAGAUCGAGAGAACUGUGGUUAAGGAACUCGGCAAAAUGCCCCCGUAACUUCGGGAGAAGGGGGACCUCGUCUGGUGAUGAUCUUUACGGUCGGAGCUGGGUGGGGUCGCAGAGACCAGAGAGAAGCGACUGUUUACUAAAAACACAGGUCCAUGCGAAGUCGUAAGACGAUGUAUAUGGACUGACGCCUGCCCGGUGCUGGAAGGUUAAGAGGACCGGUUAGCCGUAAGGCGAAGCUGAGAAUUUAAGCCCCAGUAAACGGCGGUGGUAACUAUAACCAUCCUAAGGUAGCGAAAUUCCUUGUCGGGUAAGUUCCGACCUGCACGAAUGGCGUAACGACUUCUCUGCUGUCUCAACCACAGACUCGGCGAAAUUGCAGUACGAGUAAAGAUGCUCGUUACGCGCGGCAGGACGAAAAGACCCCGGGACCUUCACUAUAGCUUGGUAUUGGUGUUCGGUUCGGUUUGUGUAGGAUAGGUGGGAGACUGUGAAGCGGGCACGCCAGUGUUCGUGGAGUCGUUGUUGAAAUACCACUCUGAUCGUAUUGGAUACCUCAACCUCGGACCAUGAUCUGGUUCAGGGACAGUGCCU